rnacentral:lncRNA from 1 species
GUGGUGGUGGGUGCGCGCUCGCGGCGGAGGGUAAACAUUCGACAGUCCCUGCUCGGAGAGGGAGGGACAGAGAGAGGACUGUCAGAUCGGAGCCGAACCGGCGGGCGAGAGAGGGAGAGAGAGAGAGAGAGAAAGAGGGAGAGAGAAAGAGGGAGGGAGAGGGAAGAAGCUAGGGAGAGCGCGCGAACCGGGGCGCACGGCGAGCUCCCCCGGCAACUCCGCUCCGGCACGGCCAGCGCGCGCGCCGUCGGUGCAGCCUCCGCGCCGUGCGUCGUGCCCACUGGAGUUGGUUGUGUAUCAAGGAUCCCCUAUAUGCACACACACACCUCCACCUCCACCAAUGCACUCUUCUUCUUCUUCUUCCUCCUCAUCCUCCUCCAGACCUCUGCUGGGAAAAAAAUAAAACACCAACCCCAACCGUCAGCAGCAAGAGGCAACCGAGAGCUCCGGCAAUAGCAACUUCAGAGCAAUGCACCAGCGCGCGAAGUUUUCCUAGGACAGAGCAAAGUCGAGCCGAGAGGACCGGAGGGGGAGAGCGGGAGCCCGCGUCUCCGCUCGGCACGCGAGCGGCCAGCACCACCACGCCUUCAAGGACAAAAAAAGUUUUCCUCCUCCAAGGGGAGACGAGCGAAGGGCGUUCCCGAAGAGCUGGCGAGGAGCGGCCGGUCGUCCGCGCUGUGGUCCAGCAGAAAGGAGCGGCUUCUUUUCUUUGUUGCCUCCCGUGAAGUCGCCACUUAGCAGGUGGACCGGGCCCAGCGCCCCGGGCAGAGUCCGCGCUUGCCCGAGGACCGGAGGAGGAGGAGGAGCGCCGGUCGGUGCGCCCGGCCCGAAGAGCCCCGGCGCAGGGCCGCGCCCCUCCCGGAGAGCCCCGCCGGAGAGAGCCGCCCGCGCCGGGGCGCGGGGGCCGCCCCGUCCCC